rnacentral:lncRNA from 1 species
GGAGCAGAGUAGAUCCUUCAGAGAUCAGACUUGCAGAUGAUCAGAUUGAGUUGAUGUUCCAACGGAUUGCUUCCAUUUUAUCCCAGCAAUUUGCCACCUCAGGUUUUGCUCAAAGGAUGAUAUCUCAGGCUGUUUCAGACCAGACCUUGAUCCCUCAUAUUUCUACUAUCUUUUAGAUGCUUACAGCUCAGUCCGCACGUAUUGAGGAGUUUGAGGGAUA